AUAUUUUUUAAAAUAUACUGAUUUAAUAAUUGAUUUUAAUAUUGAUCUUGCCCGGCGCCAUCUAUUAAUCACUUACCUUACUAGCUCAGUUAUAAUGUGAAACCUGCAUGAAAUCUCCUAUCUGUGGAGGUGUGAGAAAAAGAUUUCUGAAAUAUCAACUAAACAAACGACACAAAAAUAAAGCUAUGAAAUGGUGGAUAAAUAACAAAAGACUGUCGAAUAUUGUACAGAAAUUUGGAAAUAUAUUGAAAAAUAAAGGCUUUGUUAUGCAACAUCAAAAAUACAAGGUUAUCUAGUCGAAAGUCUGAAUAAAGAAAUACGAUGCAAUGAAUUUAACUAUAAAAAAAAUAAGAGUAUUUGACAAAAAAUUAAGUCGAAGAUAACCCAAAAUUAUCUUGAAUAUUCAAAAUUUGUUAUACUAAAGCUAGAAAAUGAAAAACAUUGACUUUCGAUCAUGAUCAAUUAAAAAUAUAAACUGUUCAGUACAACCUUUCACGAUGUAAUAUGAAGAUAAACCAAACUUUUCUUAUAAAGUUGAGGGUCAUUUUUGAAAAUUUUUUUUUUACCAUGAAGAUUAUUUAUACAGAUUGAUGUCUAUUUCAACAUAAUUUCACAAAUCUACACAUGCAGCUAAGUGAUGCAAGACGUAUCACCUUAACGAAGUUCCUUUCGAAGUGACUUUUGGAAACAUGGAACCUUUUGAUGAUUCUUACGAACAAAUAAGGCUAUUGUAUGAUACAAAUAGAAGUAAUUCUCUGGUAAAACUCAAAAUUCAAAUUAUUAUAUGUUCUAGUUACUAAUUUCUAAUUUAUAUGUCAUUGAAAUAUCAUCUUUGAUAUAGGAUUACCUAUUUUGAUUUCUUAUGUAAUUCUACCUUUAUACACUUAAAUAAAACCAUCUUAUAACUA